rnacentral:rRNA from 1 species
GAUGAACGCUGGCGGCGUGCCUAAUACAUGCAAGUCGAGCGAAUGGACUAAGAGCUUGCUCUUAUGAAGUUAGCGGCGGACGGGUGAGUAACACGUGGGUAACCUGCCCAUAAGACUGGGAUAACUCCGGGAAACCGGGGCUAAUACCGGAUAACAUUUUGAACCGCAUGGUUCGAAAUUGAAAGGCGGCUUCGGCUGUCACUUAUGGAUGGACCCGCGUCGCAUUAGCUAGUUGGUGAGGUAACGGCUCACCAAGGCAACGAUGCGUAGCCGACCUGGGAGGGGGAUCGGCCACACGGGGACUGAGACACGGCCCAGACUCCUACGGGAGGCAGCAGUAGGGAAUCUUCCGCAAUGGACGAAAGUCUGACGGAGCAACGCCGCGUGAGUGAUGAAGGCUUUCGGGUCGUAAAACUCUGUUGUUAGGGAAGAACAAGUGCUAGUUGAAUAAGCUGGCACCUUGACGGUACCUAACCAGAAAGCCACGGCUAACUACGUGCCAGCCGCCGCAGUAA